UACGAGAGGCGCAAACGUUAUUCGGAAUUACUGGGCUUAAAGAGUUCGUAGGCGGCGCAGAAAGUAGGGUGUGAAAGCCCUCGGCUCAACCGAGGAAUUGCGCUCUAAACUACUGUGCUUGAGGGACCUAGAGGUGAGCGGAACUGAUGGUGGAGCGGUGAAAUGCGUUGAUAUCAUCAGGAACACCGGGAGGCGAAGGCGGCUCACUGGGGGUCUUCUGACGCUGAGGAACGAAAGCCAGGGGAGCGAACGGG
rnacentral:rRNA from 1 species